GACGAACGCUGGCGGCGUGCUUAACACAUGCAAGUCGAACGGAAAGGCCCUGCUUUUGUGGGGUGCUCGAGUGGCGAACGGGUGAGUAACACGUGAGUAACCUGCCCUUGACUUUGGGAUAACUUCAGGAAACUGGGGCUAAUACCGGAUAGGAGCUCCUGCUGCAUGGUGGGGGUUGGAAAGUUUCGGCGGUUGGGGAUGGACUCGCGGCUUAUCAGCUUGUUGGUGGGGUAGUGGCUUACCAAGGCUUUGACGGGUAGCCGGCCUGAGAGGGUGACCGGCCACAGUGGGAUUGGGAUGAGGCCCGGACCACUACGGGAGGCAGCAGUGGGGAGGGUGGCACAAGGGGCGGGAGCCAGAUGCAGCACCGCCGCGUGGGGGGUGAGGGGCAUGGGUUAGUAAACCACUUUCGCCUGUCACGAAGCGUGAAUGACGGUAAUGGGUAAAGAAGCACCGGCUAACUACGUG
rnacentral:rRNA from 1 species